GCCUGGCAUGGUGGCGCACGCCUGUAAUCCCAGCUACUCGGGAGGCUGAGGCACGAGAAUCGCUUGAACCCAGGAGAUGGAGGUUGCAGUGAGCCAAGAUUGCACCACUGCACUCCCGCCUGGGUUACAGAGUGAAACCCUGUCUCGA
rnacentral:SRP_RNA from 1 species